rnacentral:rRNA from 1 species
CCUACGGGAGGCAGCAGUGAGGAAUAUUGGUCAAUGGGCGCGAGCCUGAACCAGCCAAGUAGCGUGAAGGAUGACUGCUCUACGGGUUGUAAACUUCUUUUAUAAAGGAAUAAAGUGAGGCACGUGUGCCUUUUUGUAUGUACUUUAUGAAUAAGGAUCGGCUAACUCCGUGCCAGCAGCCGCGGUAAUACGGAGGAUCCGAGCGUUAUCCGGAUUUGUUGGGUUUAAAGGGAGCGUAGAGGGGUUGUUAAGUCAGUUGUGAAAGUUUGGGGCUCAAUCGUAAAAUUGCAAUGGAUACUGGCAGACUUGAGUACAGUUGAGGAGAGCGGAAUUCGUGGUGUAGCGGUGAAAUGCUUAGAUAUCUCGAAGAACUCCGAUGGCGAAGGCAGCUUACUAAACUGCCACUGACAUUGAUGCUCGAAAGUGUGGGUAGCAAACAGGAUUAGAUACCCGAGUAGUC